CUGAGAUCAAGGUGGAGACCUGGCUGGCAGCCAUCUUGAGACUCCACUGAGGGAUCCACUUCUAAGCCUUAGGCUCUAGCUAGCUAUAGGAGGGAGAGAUCACCUCCUUGCCACUGGGCCUCAUGGCAGUUGGAUUCCCUCCCCAAAGAAACAACCUGAAGAGAAUAUUCCAGAGAGAAGCCACAGUUCUUUUGUUCGUUUGUUUGUUUUUGAAAUCUAUCUUAGAAGUGCCAGGAUCUGGGAAUGUAACCUCUUUGGAGUUAAGGUCUUUCAAGAGUGAUUAAGUUAAAAUGAGACCAUUAGGGUGGAGUUCUAAUCCUACAUGACUAGUGUCCUUAUAAGAAGAGGAAAAGACACCAGGGAUAUGUGGAUGCCAAGAGAAAAGACUGUGUGAAGAGACUGUGUGAAGACAGCAGCCCUCUGCAAGCCAAGAAGAGUGAAACCAACACUGUCAACACCUUGAUCUCGAACUUCCAGACUCCAGAACUGGUAUAUGAAGCCAUUAAAGAUCUUUGAGCAGAGCAGGGCCAUAUGUCUGAAAAGAAGGUGAGAUCUCUGUAGGGUGGAAGUUGACUUGUCUUCUUUUAUUGUGAUUUUUUCUUUUUACUUUUUUAAAUUAAAAAAAUU